UUCGUUUGACAACUUCCGGGUGCCCGCGCGAGGUGGGUUGAAAGGGAAGGGGGUGCGAUUCCCCCACGGUCCCGCCACUGUGAUGGGUCCCGCGGGUCUCACAUGCCACUGGUCGUUCCGGCCGGGAAGGCGAGACCCGUACCGCGGCCCUGAGUCAGGAAACCUGCCCGGAAGCGAUUCGCCCG
rnacentral:ncRNA from 2 species